GAGAGAUAUCGCAAAUGCAUUUUUAUCGCACGCUAAUAGCGGAAUACGCUAUUUUGACAUGUACGCAAGCGCAGAAUGAAUGUUACGCUAAUACCGGAUAGCGUGUCCCGCUAUUUAGGUUGAAAUAAGGGACGGUAAUAACGUUAACGCUAAUUUGACAUUUGGGAUGAAACAUAAAAAUAAUGUAUAGAAUACAAAUUUUAUAAACUAAAUACUGUGAAUCAUCUUAUGUUGAGAAAUACGUGCAUUUUUAUUUUGUCUACAAUAGACUACUUUUUGUGGUUAGGAUAUUAUUUAUUCAGAUAUUUUAUAUUAUUUUUAUACUAACUAUUUAUAUUUAUUGUUGGUUAAAUCAUUAAAAUUAAAAUGCAUGUCAACCAGCUCAAUAUCCAAAUUCAUUUUUCAAAAACAAACAAUUACAGUAUUCCUCAAAAUUAAUUUCUAGGUUACAUUGUAAUACCAAACGUCGGUUGUCAUAAUAACGUUAAGCCCCGCCCCAGAACAUUUGCGAUAACUCUCUUGUUGCCUGUGCUGAAAUAGAACGUUAUACGUUAUUUACGUCUUGACACGAUAUUAUCGUUUGCAUUUGCGAUAUCUCUCUAUUUCCUUAAAUACUUGUAAACCAUUUCUAGAUAUUAUAAAGGCUGUAUGACACUAUACAUUUUCUUGUAUCAUUUCUAAAGUCCACUUUACAUCAACAAUAAAUUGGACAAGAAAUUGACCAAGUUAUUCAAGGCCAAAUUUGACGUGUAAAAGCACACUUUGACAUCUAAGUUUGUUCGUUAUAAACUUCACGUGAAGAAAUUGACGAAAAAGAAAAUUGUUCUAUUUUUUCAUUUAUUUGGCGUGAAUUCAGUGUCACCAACCUGUGUCCAUUUGGCGGGAAGUGGAAGUAGAGCUGUAGAGCUUUUUGUUUAUUAUUAUUUGUUGAGGUUGAGUCUUUCAUGUUCAUGACAACCUAAAAAUUUUGAUUGGAAAAUGCAUAUAAGAUAAGGGGGUGGGAAAAUGGAAAUUAGUGGCUUUUUUGCAAUUCUGUCUGUUAGUUUUGCUCUGGCUGGGUCUCUUUUGUUUAAACAAUUAUAAUCAGCUGAAAGUGGUCUACAAAAAAACCAGGAAGGAAACGUAUUAUAGCCUUGUUGUGGCUAUGAAAGGCAAAAGAAAGAUACCUAUAAAAAGUGUAUUGACUAGUUGGAAGAAACUCCACAUUGUCGAUGCAUAAUAAGAUAUUACUUUAUAAACAAAUAUCAAAACCUAGGAAUGGAACCUGGAUAAUAUAGUCAUCAAGAAGAUAGCAGGAGGUCAUGAGCAACAACAACUUCAUAAGUAUGAGAAUAUUGAGGAAAUCCAGCUCCUCGAUAUCUACUACUGGACAAACUAGAAGAUUGAAGAGGACAAAGCCUUUUGAACUAGUUUGAGUGAUAGGUGAUAGUGAAAAGCAGAGCGUAGUGCUUGUGUGCCUGUGUAUGUUAGAAUAGUGCACGAUCUUGUUAGAUUAGAUAAGAGACGCUAUAGGGUAAGCUCUUCAUUUUAAGGAACAGUAGUAAUUUAGGUUAAAUUAAAAUUGCUCAUUGGUCAGUUAUGACCAGAUUGUAAUUCUCUGAUGUUUGGCAAAAAGGGCUGAAGUCAGAAUUGCACAUCAAUAAUGUUUUGAUGAUUUCUGGACCAUAAAAAAAGUGUUGCAGACUUAAACUGUAUGUACCAAUAAAAAGAGCCGAUUUUUCUGGUCCAGAAAUCAUCAAAACAUUAUCGAUGUGCAAUUCUGACUUAAGCCCUUUUUCCCAAACAUCAGAGAAUUGCAAUGUACAAUUCAAUACAAAUGAAUCAUCAUCGUAGUGAUGAUUAUGGAAAAAAAUAUAUAUAUAUAGAAAUAUAUAUAUUUUGUGCAAUAAAAAUGUUUAUAUUUA